UUUUGUUUUUAUUUCUUAUGAAACCCUCUUGUGACGUGUUCUUCAAAUAUGCAAGAGUAAUAAUAAGUUUAUAUUAUGUAUAUACAUAUAUAAGGCAUGGUACAUAAUAAUUCAAAUCUUAACAUGAAUAAAAAUCUCUAAUUGGCAACCACUGUUCUACAUGUAAUAGCUGCUUUAGAAGCAUAAACAGCAAAAACAUAAAAGAAGAAUGCUCCCCUCAGUUGGACUAUCUUCACCAAAUUUAGUGUCUUUUUAAGCGACCAUUUUUUUGUCUCCAUAAAAUGAAACAAAUAUGCAACUAAAGAAUUACGAGUUCAGAAUAAAAUGAAACUGUUUUGAAAACGAAAGGGUUGGUGCUUUUAUGAUUCUUCGUAUAGAUGCAAAUAUAGUUAAUAUGUAAAACAUGAACUUAACCAAAAAAGAGAAGAUGUUUAAUGGCUCUAUUAGGGUAUGGACAGAAGGUGUUUGUGCUGUUUGUCAUUAAAAAAGCCAUGGGUAAAUCUAAGUGUAUGUUCGCCGACUUUUUGAACUCAAUUGAACUGUCAUAUAUCUUACAAGAUCGUACUUGCGUCAUUUUAUUUAUACAGUUAUGGUUUUGUACGAAUGUGUUCCACGAUUCGUGCUCUUUGGGUAUAAUUCACAGUCCACAGUUCCUG
rnacentral:lncRNA from 1 species